CUACGGGCGGCUCCAGUGAGGAAUAUUGCACAAUGGGGGGAACCCUGAUGCAGCAACGCCGCGUGGAGGAUGACGCAUUUCGGUGUGUAAACUCCUUUUAUAUGUCAAGAAAAUGACGGUAGCAUAUGAAUAAGCACCGGCUAACUCCGUGCCAGCAGCCGCGGAAUACGGAGGGUGCAAGCGUUACUCGGAAUCACUGGGCGUAAAGGACGCGUAGGCGGGUUGGAAAGUCAGGUGUGAAAUCCUACAGCUUAACUGUAGAACUGCACUUGAAACUUCUAAGCUAGAGUAUGGGAGGGGGAGAUGGAAUUAGAGGUGUAGGGGUAAAAUCCGUAGAUAUCACUAGGAAUACCUAAAGCGAAGGCGAUCUCCUGGAACAUUACUGACGCUAAGGCGUGAAAGCGUGGGGAGCAAACAGGAUUAGAUACCCGCGUAGUC
rnacentral:rRNA from 1 species